rfam:Ilyobacter polytropus DSM 2926, complete genome.
UUCUUAUCUAGAGAGAGGGAGGGACUGGCCCUUUGACACCUCAGCAACAUGCUUUUAUGGUUUGUGCUAAAUAGAUAAGGG